CGGGUAUGUCGGGACUUCCUGGUCGGCAGAUGGGCCGGCAGGCAUCGAUAUGGUCGGACAGAUCUGCGAGGAAUGUCCGUGAUUAUCGACGGAAGUCAGUGAAGGGACACUGGAGGGGCUGCAUCCUUCAGAGUCUGCAUUGGAAGGCCACGACGAGACUGUCCUACUUUGAAGGCCGACACGUGCGUCCUUCUGUCCUGGAACAACAAAGGCUUCAACGGGUGGAUCUUCACACUGACAUUCACCAACCAUCUGAGGCGUAUACCUGUGGCUCCAUACUGGGCUCCAAACAACCUCCGUGAUCCAGCCUCUGUGACCUCCCUCCUGAGACCUGAUUCAGUGCUUCAAGAGAAAAUGACCUCGUAAGACAAACAGCAA